rnacentral:rRNA from 1 species
UACGGAGGGGGCUAGCGUUGUUCGGAAUUACUGGGCGUAAAGCGCACGUAGGCGGCUUUGUAAGUUAGAGGUGAAAGCCCGGGGCUCAACUCCGGAAUUGCCUUUAAGACUGCAUCGCUAGAAUUGUGGAGAGGUAAGUGGAAUUCCGAGUGUAGAGGUGAAAAUUCGUAGAUAUUCGGAAGAACACCAGUGGCGAAGGCGACUUACUGGACACAUAUUGACGCUGAGGUGCGAAAAGCGUGGGGGAGCAAACAGG